GGAUGUGAGGGUGAUCUGGCUGCGACAUCUGUCACCCCAUUGAUCUGCCUGGGUUGAUUAGGCUGAUCUGGCUGGCUAGGCGGGUGCCCCCUUCCUCCCUCACCGCUCCAUGUGCGUCCCUCCUGAAGCUGUGUGCUUGGUCGAAGAGGACGGCCUUCCCCGAAUAGAGACAGACCAGUCUUAGGUCAAGGGUAUAUGGGUAGCUGCGCUCCCCUGCUAGAACCUCCAAACAUGCUCUCAAGAAACUCAUGUACAGAAAUGAUCAGACAUAGUGCCUCUGUUCUACUGAGUUUUUAAUUAGAGGCUGUCUUG
rnacentral:snRNA from 1 species